rnacentral:rRNA from 1 species
UACAGAGGUCCCGAGCGUUGUUCGGAUUCAUUGGGCGUAAAGGGUGCGUAGGCGGCUUCCUAAGUUUGGUGUGAAAUCCUGGGGCUCAACCCUGGAACUGCAUUGAAUACUGGGAGGCUAGAGUACUGGAGAGGAAACUGGAAUUUACGGUGUAGCAGUGAAAUGCGUAGAGAUCGUAAGGAAGACCAGUGGCGAAGGCGAGUUUCUGGACAGUUACUGACGCUGAGGCACGAAGGCCAGGGGAGCAAACGGG